rnacentral:rRNA from 1 species
GACGGUACUUGAGGAAUAAGCCACGGCUAAUUCCGUGCCAGCAGCCGCGGUAAUACGGGAGUGGCAAGCGUUAUCCGGUAUUAUUGGGCGUAAAGCGUCCGCAGGCGGCCCUGUAAGUCUGUCGUUAAAGCGUGGAGCUCAACUCCAUUUCAGCGAUGGAAACUACAGGGCUUGAGUGUGGUAGGGGCAGAGGGAAUUCCCGGUGUAGCGGUGAAAUGCGUAGAUAUCGGGAAGAACACCAGUGGCGAAGGCGCUCUGCUGGGCCAUAACUGACGCUCAUGGACGAAAGCCAGGGGAGCGAAAGGGAUUAGAUACCCCUGUAGUCCUGGCCGUAAACGAUGAACACUAGGUGUCGGGGGAAUCGACCCCCUCGGUGUCGUAGCCAACGCGUUAAGUGUUCCGCCUGGGGAGUACGCACGCAAGUGUGAAACUCAAAGGAAUUGACGGGGGCCCGCACAAGCGGUGGAGUAUGUGGUUUAAUUCGAUGCAACGCGAAGAACCUUACCAGGGUUUGACAUCCUGCGAACCCCCUGGAAACGGGGGGGUGCCUUCGGGAACGCAGUGACAGGUGGUGCAUGGCUGUCGUCAGCUCGUGUCGUGAGAUGUUGGGUUAAGUCCCGCAACGAGCGCAACCCACGUCGUUAGUUGCCAGCAUUCAGUUGGGCACUCUAGCGAGACCGCCGGUGAUAAACCGGAGGAAGGUGUGGAUGACGUCAAGUCAUCAUGCCCCUUACAUCCUGGGCUACACACGUACUACAAUGCUACGGACAAAGGGCCGCAAGCUCGCGAGAGUUAGCAAAUCCCAUAAGCCGUGGCUCAGUUCAGAUCGUAGGCUGCAACUCGCCUACGUGAAGGAGGAAUCGCUAGUAAUCGCAGGUCAGCAUACUGCGGUGAAUACGUUCCCGGGCCUUGUACACACCGCCCGUCACACCAUGGAAGUUGGCCACGCCCGAAGUCGUUACUCCAACCCUUGUGGAGGAGGACGC